rnacentral:lncRNA from 1 species
AGGCACUGCACAAGGCACACUGGGGGAUCCUGUGGGUGAAGACCCACCCUCCUGGGCCUGCGGCUCCAGGGGAGAGAGGAGAGGAGCCUGUGAGAGAAGUCAGCUGAGAGCAAGGCAGAUUUCCACAGGAAUCCACGUGAUGGCUGUUUCCAUUUCUGUGUGUGCUGACAGGGGCACGUGUGCACACGCGUGCUCCUGAGCGUGUGUCUGUGUGAGUGCAGAGCUCCCAGGUGGCCGGUGGGGGUCUCGAGCUAAGCCGUGGUUUAUUCAGCCCUCCACAUCUGGGGAUGAGACAAAUACUGCAGGCGUGCCCCCCAGCCCCCACUGUCCACGGCAGACAUCACUAAACGAUCGGGCGCUCUUCCCAACGAACCUGGAUACGGCUCAGGAUCACAGCUCUCUAGGACUAAGAGUGAUUGCAAAGAGAGGAGAGGAAGGGGGCCUGGCACUGAGGAAGCGCUCACGCUCAUGGAGGCUCAUCCUACUCCCAGCCCUGAGAGACCCUCCUUGACCGCCUGGCCCUGUCCCCCACCUUCAGAGGAGACAACUGUCUUCCAGAAGAAGGCGUCCGCCCAAAGCCGCAGGGAAAGACCAGCGGUGCCACCCGGGACCGGAAGAGCCCCCUCGCUCCCCCUCCCCACAGCUGAGCCUCUCCAGCAACAAAAUGGCUGCAGCAGUGCUGGGCAUCACAUCUGAGUAACCCAUUGCACAGAGGAGCCUUCUCUUCUCCCUAUAUGGACUGGAUGUCCUGGCCUCAUUUAGCCAAGUGCUCAUCCCUGAAUCAAUCACUGGACAAGAGGAAUGGGCUUCAGCCAAUGAGAGCCCACCCCGGGGAUGGAAUCAGAAUGUCUUCCCCAAAACCUGUGGCAAUGUCCUCUCCCUAGUAACACUCGUCCCACCUACCCCCACCCGAUUUUUCCCUGCUAAGAAAACUUUGAUGUGUCCCUAUGGCACUGGUGAUCCACUGAUCUUCGGGAGGGUAGGGCCCUACCUGAGCCCUUGGGGUGACUCUUGAUUGGUGGAAAGGCCAUGUGACCUUAUUCCUCGUCACUAACAAUUGCUUCAGGAAUGGCUGUAUGACUUGGUUCUGGCUAAUGAGAUGCAAGUAAAGAAUCUGCUGGGUCGGGCUUCUAGGAGAGCUUUG